CUGCUCCCAAAUGUCCAGAAGAAGAGGCAGUUUGGGGUUUCAUACUGCUAUAGCAUAAGUAUAAUAGUUAUUAGCAUAUAAUAGCUAUUAGUCUCUUUUUGGGUGUACCUAUUGAUUUUUAUGGUUUUUUUUCUACCUCCCCUUUUCUCCCUAUGUAAAUAAAUUGUAUAUAGUUAAGUACUGAGUGGUGUCUGAGUGACGGUUUCGAGGCUCCAGGUGUCCUUCUGUAGAGACACUCUCCACACUGUCGGAAGGAGGACUCCAAGGCAGAGACCCCAGGGACCGAUAACUGGCUGCAGCUGGCGGGUAGCUCCACCUCCUGAGUUACACAAGUAUUUUCAGCUAUUAGGUAGAACUUCCUGGACUUGCUGUACUGAUCCCUACAAUGCAGCAUGGACAUAGAAACCAUUCCCUCAUCUUUUUUUAACACCCUGAAUUUGUCUCUGCUUUUUUGGUCUUCAUGGAAAAGGGAUUUCUGCUCAGUACAACCUGCAGCUUGUUGCAAGCCAUCCUCAUCUUCAUCCUCAUGCAAUAUUCUCCAAGAAAGGAUAGCAUGUCCUUAAUCCCUUUAAAGGAUGGAAGAUGUAGUGGUAUGCAUAGGAGGAUGACCUUUGCUUUCUGUUGGCAUAUGAGACUGGCAUGAGGGCACCACCAGGUAAGUCUUUGAAGGUGAUGUUGGGGACCAUGAGUUCCCAAUAUCACUAUGUCCCCAAGAGGACUUUUCUCCUUCUGGUAGAUCGGAGGGUGUAAUCCAUCCCCAUGCAAUUUCUUAGGCAGCCAGUGGGUGCUGAACUGAACAGCAUGAUCAAGCAAGGCGUCGAGACUGGAGGGAGCCAAGAGGGACCCUUGUGAUAAUGGGUGGAUCUUCACCAAGUACAAGAUCUCAUUCUUCAUGAUGCUUCCUGGAGCAGAGGGGAAAGCAGAAGUUCAGAAAUGGAGAUGCAACAGCAAGAACCGUUCACAUCAGUGAGUCACAGGCCGGCAAACUAAGCCAGGGGUGCACAAGAAGUGAUAGCCCCUUCUCCCCGCGGUAAUGCCAAUGGCCUGGAGCUUCAGUGAGGCAGCCACACGGCACGCCUGGUCUGGAUCCAAAUGCACGUGGGCUUGGGAGCUGUGACAGCACCACUACACCAACUCCAGCAAGUCAUAGGGGUGGGUCAGUUGGACCACAUGCGACCAGUGGUUGUGGGGCUCUGGGAGGAAGCUCUCCCCAUGGCAGGAACCCAGAAGAAGAGAGGGCCAUGGCAGGCAGGGAGGGGCUAGGGCUGCAGGGCAGAGAGACUCUCCUGCUCCUCUGUCUGACUUUCAGGGAUCAGUGAGGUCUACCCCAUUAUUCCUUCUGCCCCAGUGUCAACUCUAGUCAAUGCGACCUCUGAACCUGGAGAAGUCUGCUACUUUUGGGGCCUCCAACCCUGUGCCUUUAACCAUCCCAGCCUCUCCUGGGCUUAGGCCUCUAUCUCUUCAGCUGACUACCCCAAACCCAGUCUGGUUCUCUCCCAGCUCACGUCUAAUCUGCUGCAACCCUACUGGUCUAUGGGUCCCUGCCCCUGCUUUUCACCCUGCUCAGGCUACAGGUCUCUGGCCCUGGCCCUGCAUGCUGUCAUCACUUUUUGGCUGUGGCCCUGCUCCUCAGCCUUGGCCCCUAUCCCUCACACCUUGGCCUCUCUCCUGGUCCAGUUGAAACCUCCCCCACUCCUACAGUCCUAAACCACCGGUCCUUACCCCCAGCAGUUUAGCUGCUUUAGCAGAGAUUCCCCUUGCAGAGUGCUCAGGAGCUCUUGCCUCCAUCGCCCCAGGGCUGAACUGCCUGCCCAGCUGGAGCCCUGGGCUUAUAUCAUGCAAGCCCAAUCCCUUUGGGCUCAUGUGGCCCCCUUGACUGCCCUCUGCCUCACCUGCAGCCUGCUGCUCCUGCCGCCUGCUUUCCCUUAAAGUAGCAAGAGCACCAAGCUCCCUGCUACAUCAGCCCAAUCUCAUUCCUUUUGGUACAGGGUGGGCACAUCUGUCCAUGGAAGGUGCUAUAGACACAUGACUACUACAUGGCUACUACCGGUCAACUGCAAGCCUCAUGUCUCAGAAGGGAUAUUUAACACACAGGGUCUACACUAAAUGAUAUAUCUGAGAUCCAUCUCAGACUGAGCCAUAGUGUUUCUCUCUUUGGAGUCCAUUCCCCCUCCCUGGUGGAGCAUAUGGUAUACCCAGAGCCCAGAAAUAUCUCCAGUCCAGAAGGAUGUAGCAGACAGCCAUGAGCCUGGGACAGGUUUGCAAAGCCUGCGCCUGAUGGAUCUCAGCAAACAGGAUGUCAAUGAUGGGUUUGGCAGUCGGCAAGGGGCGCCAAUGUAUUUGGCAGUUGUAGAAGAUGAGGAAGCCCCCUUCUCAAAGUGCAGAACCAGCCUUAAAAGGAACAGAAUGGAAAUUAGAGAAAAUACCCUGACUUUGCCUAUUCAGGGAAGGCACGGCCAAGACAAAGAGAGACUCUGGGGAUGACAUGGGGAAGAUAUGGCAAGGUUUGGACUGGCCCUGCAAAGAGGGAGAUGCCAGAAUGUGCAGCAAGCCGCAGGGGGAGAUGAGAAGGAUGAUCUUGUAGAGCACGAGCCAGUGGUCUUCCAGGCAACAACUAAAGAUGCUGCCUUGCGGGACCGUGUUAGCGUGCAGCUGGGCCAGGCUGCCUGAACACUCAGCUUGAUCUCUUCUAUCCUAUUUAGUUUUCUGUGUAGCCCUCAGGGUGGGAAGGAAACAUUUCCAGUGUAGCCAGGAAUAGAUGCUACCAACAGACUGAACCCCCACCCACAUCCAGCUCACUGGGCCUCACCUCUAUGCAGCCAAUUAAGACAUUGCUCAUUCUCUCUCUUUAUGCAAGGACAAGUGGCAACUUGACUGCAUUGACAUCAACAGAAACAGCAAGCUUCAGACAGCCGGUGCUGUGCUGAGGUGCCUCCCUGAAAACAAGCAGGCAGCAAAAUGCCCUCUGCAUCGGGCUACACCCCUCUUCCUGCCCUACCCCUUACCCCCUCCCACCCCAAGGUUAGUAGACAAUAUGUGAAUGAAAGUGCCCAGAGUUUUUGCUUUGUUUUUCCAGCCACAAAUUGCAUCAGUUCAGCCCUGGAGAACAUGAAUCAAGUCCUA